GACGAACGCUGGCGGCGUGCUUAACACAUGCAAGUCGAGCGGAAAGGCCCUUCGGGGUACUCGAGCGGCGAACGGGUGAGUAACACGUGAGUAACCUGCCCCAGACUUUGGGAUAACCCUCGGAAACGGGGGCUAAUACCGGAUACGACACAGCUUCGCAUGGGGUCUGUGUGGAAAGUUUUUCGGUUUGGGAUGGGCUCGCGGCCUAUCAGCUUGUUGGUGGGGUGAUGGCCUACCAAGGCGACGACGGGUAGCCGGCCUGAGAGGGCGACCGGCCACACUGGGACUGAGACACGGCCCAGACUCCUACGGGAGGCAGCGGUGGGGAAGAGUGCACAAGGGGCGGAAGCCUGAUGCAGCGACGCCGCGUGAGGGAUGACGGCCUUCGGGUUGUAAACCUCUUUCAGCAGGGACGAAGCGUAAGUGACGGUACCUGCAGAAGAAGCGCCGGCCAACUACGUG
rnacentral:rRNA from 1 species